AGAAAUACAAAUGAGCAAAAGCUGGCAGGCUGACGGGAAAGUGCAUCUUUACAGGACGGAUUAACUGGUAACUGACCAUUUAGCUGUGGCACACUCGGACUCUCUGUAAACGUGGGAUUUUGACCAUGAGCUCAGUCGCUGUACUUACGCAGGAAAGCUUUAAUGAGCACCGCAGUGGGCUUCUGCCAGAGCAGGGUGGUGCUGCUGGGGCAGGACCCGGCGCUGUAGAGGAAGAGGAUGCACUUCCUACCUACAAGGAUGCUUUCCCACCUCUGCCUGAGAAGGCGGCCUCACCUGAGGGGACCCAGGAAACUGCCAACGCCUGGACAUCUAAGAUCCGUCCACUCAAGUCCUCUGUUAUCACCCAGGUAGAACACUUUACGAGUCACUCACAC